CCUACGGGAGGCAGCAGUGGGGAAUAUUGGGCAAUGGGCGCAAGCCUGAACCAGCAACGCCGCGUGAAGGAAGACGGCUUUCGGGUUGUAAACUUCUUUUAAGAGGGAAGUGCAGAAGACGGUACCUCUUGAAUAAGCUACGGCUAAUUACGUGCCAGCAGCCGCGGUAAUACGUAGGUGGCGGGCGUUGUCCGGAUUUACUGGGUGUAAAGGGCGUGUAGCCGGGCUUACAAGUCAGAUGUGAAAGUCCGGGGCUCAACCCUGGACCUGCAUUUGAAACUGUUGGUCUUGAGUAUCGGAGGGGAUGGCGGAAUUCCUAGUGUAGCGGUGAAAUGCGUAGAUAUUAGGAGGAACACCAGUGGCGAAGGCGGGCGGCUGGACGACAACUGACGGUGAGGCGCGAAAGCGUGGGGAGCAAACAGGAUUAGAUACCCCUGUAGUC
rnacentral:rRNA from 1 species